UAACAGAGUAGUAAAACGUCGCGAAAAGAUCCCUUUUCCAAGGCUUGAAUCAAAAAUAAAUCUAACUCUAUCUUUUACACUUUUAGAGUUUAGUAUUUUAGGUAGCAAGACAAAACGACUACUUAAAAAUGCCCAAACUACAUUUUAGUAGAAGGGUAAUCAUAAAUUAGGAAUCAGUGACGCAUUAAAAUAAAAUUAUUGUCAAAAGUUAAUUUCUAAACUAAGUUAUUUCUUCAAUAAAGGCUUCUUAUAUUUGCAUAAUAAUUUUAGGUCGUAUAAGGUUCUUCCCAGUAAACGAUACCAGUUAUUUGAACCAUACUAUCAGUGAAUUGCACCAAGUAGGUCAUCUUCGAUUAGAUUUGACGAGACUACCUACAAAUUUUACAUAUAAAUACUCUCACAUAAACUAUAUAGUAAACAAUUAGAAACAAGUGUUCAUUCAAACUACUUAUUAAAAUAUAUAUAAAAAAAUAAACUAAAAUGAAGGUUUUAAUGCUUGCUUUUUUUGUCGCCCUCGUGUGUGUCACACAUGCUACAUCCAUUGCCGAAGAAUCAGACAUUCCACAACUGUCGACUGAGGCCAUGGAACCUAUGGAGAUGUUAAACGGCGCUCGUCAACGCAUCUGCACCGCUGCGUUGUGUCAAUCUGUGUGCAGAAGUCUGGGAUGGCGGACGGGCAGCUGCAACGCCCAACUAUUGUGCAUCUGUAGACGUUAACCGUUGUAAUUCUUAAUUUAACUUUAGUUUACUGUUAUUUUUAGGUAUUAAUAAAUUAUUAGGCCUA